rnacentral:rRNA from 1 species
AUUGAACGCUGGCGGAAUGCUUUACACAUGCAAGUCGAACGGUAGAGGGGGCAACCCCUCGAGAGUGGCGAACGGGUGAGUAAUAUAUCGGAACGUGCCCAGUCGUGGGGGAUAACGUAGCGAAAGUUACGCUAAUACCGCAUACGAUCUACGGAUGAAAGCGGGGGAUCGCAAGACCUCGCGCGAUUGGAGCGGCCGAUAUCAGAUUAGGUAGUUGGUGGGGUAAAGGCUCACCAAGCCAACGAUCUGUAGCUGGUCUGAGAGGACGACCAGCCACACUGGAACUGAGACACGGUCCAGACUCCUACGGGAGGCAGCAGUGGGGAAUUUUGGACAAUGGACGCAAGUCUGAUCCAGCCAUUCCGCGUGCAGGAUGAAGGCCCUCGGGUUGUAAACUGCUUUUGUACGGGAAGAAAUGUUACUACGUGUAGUAAUUUGACGGUACCGUAAGAAUAAGGAUCGGCUAACUUCGUG